AAUUUUGCGCAAUGGGCGAAAGCCUGACGCAGCAACGCCGCGUGAACGAUGAAGCCCUUCGGGGUGUAAAGUUCUGUCAGUGGGGACGAAACUUGACGGUACCCACAGAGGAAGCACCGGCUAACUCCGUGCCAGCAGCCGCGGUAAUACGGAGGGUGCAAGCGUUGUCCGGAAUCAUUGGGCGUAAAGCGUUCGUAGGCGGCAUACCAAGUCUGGUGUUAAAUCCCGGGGCUCAACUCCGGUCCGGCACUGGAUACUGGUAAGCUAGAAUGUGGUAGAGGUAAAGGGAAUUCCUGGUGUAGCGGUGAAAUGCGUAGAUAUCAGGAGGAACACCGGUGGCGUAAGCGCUUUACUGGGCCAUAAUUGACGCUGAGGAACGAAAGCCGGGGGAGCAAAUGGG
rnacentral:rRNA from 1 species